rnacentral:rRNA from 1 species
AUGAACGCUAGCUACAGGCUUAACACAUGCAAGUCGAGGGGCAGCAUGGUCUUAGCUUGCUAAGGCCGAUGGCGACCGGCGCACGGGUGAGUAACACGUAUCCAACCUGCCGUCUACUCUUGGACAGCCUUCUGAAAGGAAGAUUAAUACAAGAUGGCAUCAUGAGUCCACAUGUUCACAUGAUUAAAGGUAUUCCGGUAGACGAUGGGGAUGCGUUCCAUUAGAUAGUAGGCGGGGUAACGGCCCACCUAGUCUUCGAUGGAUAGGGGUUCUGAGAGGAAGGUCCCCCACAUUGGAACUGAGACACGGUCCAAACUCCUACGGGAGGCAGCAGUGAGGAAUAUUGGUCAAUGGGCGAGAGCCUGAACCAGCCAAGUAGCGUGAAGGAUGACUGCCCUAUGGGUUGUAAACUUCUUUUAUAAAGGAAUAAAGUCGGGUAUGCAUACCCGUUUGCAUGUACUUUAUGAAUAAGGAUCGGCUAACUCCGUGCCAGCAGCCGCGGUAAUACGGAGGAUCCGAGCGUUAUCCGGAUUUAUUGGGUUUAAAGGGAGCGUAGAUGGAUGUUUAAGUCAGUUGUGAAAGUUUGCGGCUCAACCGUAAAAUUGCAGUUGAUACUGGAUAUCUUGAGUGCAGUUGAGGCAGGCGGAAUUCGUGGUGUAGCGGUGAAAUGCUUAGAUAUCACGAAGAACUCCGAUUGCGAAGGCAGCCUGCUAAGCUGCAACUGACAUUGAGGCUCGAAAGUGUGGGUAUCAAACAGGAUUAGAUACCCUGGUAGUCCACACGGUAAACGAUGAAUACUCGCUGUUUGCGAUAUACGGCAAGCGGCCAAGCGAAAGCGUUAAGUAUUCCACCUGGGGAGUACGCCGGCAACGGUGAAACUCAAAGGAAUUGACGGGGGCCCGCACAAGCGGAGGAACAUGUGGUUUAAUUCGAUGAUACGCGAGGAACCUUACCCGGGCUUAAAUUGCAGAUGAAUUACGGUGAAAGCCGUAAGCCGCAAGGCAUCUGUGAAGGUGCUGCAUGGUUGUCGUCAGCUCGUGCCGUGAGGUGUCGGCUUAAGUGCCAUAACGAGCGCAACCCUUGUUGUCAGUUACUAACAGGUUCUGCUGAGGACUCUGACAAGACUGCCAUCGUAAGAUGUGAGGAAGGUGGGGAUGACGUCAAAUCAGCACGGCCCUUACGUCCGGGGCUACACACGUGUUACAAUGGGGGGUACAGAGGGCCGCUACCACGCGAGUGGAUGCCAAUCCCAAAAACCUCUCUCAGUUCGGACUGGAGUCUGCAACCCGACUCCACGAAGCUGGAUUCGCUAGUAAUCGCGCAUCAGCCACGGCGCGGUGAAUACGUUCCCGGGCCUUGUACACACCGCCCGUCAAGCCAUGGGAGCCGGGGGUACCUGAAGUGCGUAACCGCGAGGAGCGCCCUAGGGUAAAACUGGUGACUGGGGCU